GCAAAGGUAGCAUAAUAAUUUGCCUCCUAAUUAGAGGCUAGAAUGAACGGACCUUCUUUACUUAGCUGUCUCAAGCUUAAAAAUAAAAAUUUCUAUCCAAGUGAAGAAUCUUGGAUUUUAUAGAAGGACCAAAAGACCCUAUAGAGCUUAAUGGGUUAAAUCAAACUAAAUGAGAUUAAUCCAUUUCAUUGGGGCGAUGAAAGAAUCAACCUUCUUAAUUAUAUAAGAGAUACACCUCAAAUUUAUAUGCUCUUCAUGAGAUCUAGAAAAAGCUACCUUAGGGAUAACAGUCUAAUUUUCCUCAAUAGCCCACAUCUACAGGAAAGAUUGGCAC
rnacentral:rRNA from 1 species